GAGAAAAACGGCAAAGGGAGAUGGAGGGGGUUGGAAGAGAAAGGGGGAAGGGAGAAAAGGGUGUGCUCAGCUCCAGCAGAAGCUCCUGGAGCUGAAUUUUGGUUUUACAAAAGCGGCGUGAAUGCCCUCAGCCAUGUGAGCUUGGUAGGUAGGUCUUCCUCCCUCGGUAAAGGGCCUGUCUCAGCACCCUCCAGGCACUGCUCUCUCUUUGCUUUGUGGCUCUGCUAAGCAUCACCCUUUGGGGCCCAGCAUCGGGUGGUGAGAAAGCUCUCAGAGGGUUCGGGAGACAAGGGCAAGGAGACCUGCACGGGGCCUGCUCCCGGAAUGGCCCAUACCGGAGAAACUAGGAGGCUCUCUGUUAGACACCAGCCAGAGUUAGGGCCCUAAGUGAAGGCAGCUUUGUCAGGGCACACAUUUCCUAGAUCAGUGGCUUUCACUUCGUUGUGUGCCCCCUGAAAACACAACACACAGUUCACAGUUUACGUGUACAUAGCCCUACCUCGCCCCCAGAUCGUCCAAGUACAUUUUUACAUAGCUUACCAUACUCGAUCAGCACGACAGACUGAUGAUGAAAUUAUCAUCUCCAUUUUACAGAAGAGAUAAUAUGCAAAGAAGUGAGCGGCCCUGUUUGCACAGCUGGGAAGUGACAGAACCAUGCAUGAUUUGAGCCCAGGCUCCCUGACACCAGAUUCAGAGCUCUAUGUGAUAUCACAAGUGUGUGUGUAUCAGACAAAAGUUCCACAAGAGGCGGUCAAGGCCCGAACCCCACCAGCCGCAUGCUCAGUGUGGUUCUUGUGUUCCUGGGCCUCGGACAUUCCCAGCUUAAUCACACACAACCUCCGCAGAACCGGCUUCAACAGUGCGCAGAUCCCGCCUCCAGCCAAGACAGGAAUUUCCAGGAAGAAAGAAUAAAGCCAUGUUGAAGUAGGUGGCCUUGGAAUAUGCGGCAGAGAUGGUGGCUGGAUCUCUAUCAGCACUAUUGGCUCAUGCAACAACUUUGAGGAGGGAAACCAUACCCUUGGGAUGGUGGAGCAGAGCACAGGAGCCCAAGACGCUGAUGACCCUGGAGUCACCAUGCCAGCCCCAGCUUACCUUCCUCUGCACCUCUUUUAUAUAAAAGAGAAAUAAACCUCUAUGUUGCAUAA